rnacentral:misc_RNA from 1 species
CAAGAUUCGAAUCAGUUCAACACCUCCUUUUGUUCCUCAGUUCAGAUAUUCCAACUUUCAAAGAGAUCCCCGGAGGAACGGUCUUAUACCACAUUGACAACAUUUGAAACAAAGAGAAAUAAAAGGCACCCUCGGGAAGAGAUCUCCAACUGUCAAAAGUCUGGUCGGUCUACCUUGUCCUUCGACGUUGAGAUCUGGUGCCACGAACCA